rnacentral:tRNA from 10 species
GCACCAUUAGCUUAGUUGGUAGAGCAGGGGACUCUUAAUCCCAAGGUCGAAGGUUCGAGUCCUUCAUGGUGCACCA